rnacentral:rRNA from 1 species
GGGAUCUUCGGACCUUGCGCUAAUAGAUGAGCCUAAGUCAGAUUAGCUAGUUGGUGGGGUAAAGGCCUACCAAGGCGACGAUCUGUAGCGGGUCUGAGAGGAUGAUCCGCCACACUGGGACUGAGACACGGCCCAGACUCCUACGGGAGGCAGCAGUGGGGAAUAUUGGACAAUGGGCGAAAGCCUGAUCCAGCCAUGCCGCGUGUGUGAAGAAGGCCUUUUGGUUGUAAAGCACUUUAAGCGAGGAGGAGGCUACUGGGAUUAAUACUCUAGGAUAGUGGACGUUACUCGCAGAAUAAGCACCGGCUAACUCUGUGCCAGCAGCCGCGGUAAUACAGAGGGUGCGAGCGUUAAUCGGAUUUACUGGGCGUAAAGCGUGCGUAGGCGGCUUUUUAAGUCGGAUG